ACUCUAAGUCCUUCACCGUUUCAAAGAAGCAAACUCCUAACAGAGAACUCAUGAGAAAUAUGAAGCUGCCCACAUCAACGGCUUCCUCCAGCUCCAUGAGGAUCUCCACUUAAAAUGCGAGAAUGGAAAGGAGCUGAGGCCAAACUCACUGCCAGGCAGCUCACUGACUAGGGAGUGUGUUCACUGUGGCAGUGAAGCCCUACCUUGAACACAGAAUGGGCUCCAACACCCAUCUCCCAGGCAUUCUCUGCAUUGAUGCUGGUAACGUGUUGACUCCAUCAUUACCGGGACAGUCACAAUGCUGAUUACUGGCAGCUGGGGAUGGAGCAGCUCGUCUCAGACUGUGUAACCUAUUGUUUCUAAAGAGCUUCCAGCUGCAGAAGCCUCCAAGCUCUUGGGCCAGCUGUGGAUUCUUUGCUGAGAUGGAGGUGUAACCGAGGAAGGGGCCUGAGAAGUAAGAAGGACGGAAAAUGAAAGCAAAGAGUUUGGAUGACCCGGGCCAUACACAGUGGCCAUGGAGCAGGAGACCAUCUUCCCUGAGGGAUGAGCCGAGGACUUGGCACUCCCCUGACCAUAAAUGGCUUGGCCAGGGCCCUCUUGGAGCCACCUCUUGCCCUGUCACCCUUGCUCUCCCAGCUGGAUGUUACUACAAAUGCGAGACACAAGCCAAUAACGCUAGCUAGAAAGGAGCUUGCCGAGGGCAGUGUUUGCAGAAGGUUCUCGGGAGGCUGUCGGAAAUGAGUUUUUCACUGAACUUUACACUGCCAGCCAACACGGUAAGUACAGCAGUCCCCGUCCACCAGGCAAGUCUGCAAAGAUCAAUGCGGGGUUUACGCUGAGCCUCCAGAACGCCCGCACACGAGCCUCAUGCGGGGGCAUCAGUGACACAGGUUGGCAAAGGCACUUAUGAAUGGUGGUGGGGAGGGGGUGCGGAGAGAAGUUUUUCCAAUUAUAAAAAUUAUAAAUAUACAUUUUGAAAAAGAAAAUAGCAAAAAACCAAAACACCUAAAUUCCCACGAGCAAAAAACAUUGGUGUCACUCCUUCCCCUCCUGUUUGACUCUUCAUAAAUUUUGACUUUUGUUGUCUUUGUACCAUUAUAUUCUCACUCUACAUAUAAUUUUAUAUGGUAAAUAUUUUCUAUCAACCUUUAUAACCAUAUCUGAGGAUGGUCACAUAAUAUUUCUUCAAGUGAAUUAUUUUUAAUUGAUUAAUCACAAUUAGAAAUAAGUUUCUGAUAAACAUAGGUAUAGAUAAAUCUUUGUCUGCCCUAAGAUGAUUUCCUUAGUACGUAGUCUAACAGGAGAAUUAUCAGGUCAACAAGAAUGAACAUUUUAUGGCUCUUGAUUGUGACGUUUAGUUGCAAGUCAACACAGAGCUUUUCAGUUGGUGGUGGCGGACAGUUUCAAUCCAGAGUUGGAUUGAGUGAUUUCAAUCCAUCUUCUGUUCUCACGUUGCGUAGAGAUAACAGCCAGAGUUGUUUUCUGACCAGGAGCACUGCUGUGAUUGAGCUGGGCAUUUUCCUGGCCGAGUUUUUUAGUGAGUUUGGCUGUGCCAAUUUUUCUAGUAAGUCAUGUGGUUAUUCAGAGAGAAUAAGCUGAAUCUCCCUGCCAGGAGGAUGCCCAAGCCAGAGCUCAUGGUUCCUGUAACACGGGCCGUAGUUCUGGAGGGAAGCAGAAAGGUAGAACCUUGUGGCUCCCUAUCGGCCUUCCGGUGCCUGCCACUGACUGCCGUGGACGUCUGUCCCCGACUGCCUGGCACCUGCACCACCUCCUGGGGGGCCCAGCCUUCUGAACCUCCCUGCUCCAGCCUCUGCCUGUCUGCUGUCUGCAGACCAAUUCCCCUAUCCCUCUCCUUAUCUGUCAAAACCUUAAUAUGGUCACUGCUGGAACUUCCUCCCUGGCUGCUCGAAGACAACAGGUCUGUAGAGACCCCAGGUUCUGUCUUAUCCUGGCUUGGCCCAUCCUGAGAAGGCCACUCAGAAAAGCAACAGGCCAUUGCUUGAGGCGGUGGAGGUGAGUGGGGUGAAGGGGAGGCCCUUGUGAUGCUGGUCCUCACCUUGUGGAGCAUUUCCUUGGUUAACAGCCUAUUUCUCUGGGAACUGUCCCCUCCACCCUUUGAACCUAUGCAGGGCAGCCAACCAUCCCGGACUGCCUGGGACUGUCUGGUUUUAGCACUGAACGUCCUGCAUCCUGGGCAACCUCUCUGGAAAACCAGGACACUUGGUCACCCUGCCUGGCAGUUAUGUUCUACCACAGGACAUUCCCUGUUGGUGCAGCUGAAUGACGGGGAGUGCCAGCGCCCCAGGAAGUGGGGGAGAGGUGAUGCCCGGCUCAUCAGAGUCCAGCCUCUCUGCAGGGGGUUUGGAACAGGGCCACAUAUGCAAGUCAGUCUCUGCUGGGCCACACUGAAGUGUCGAGUACAAAGGCUGGGUUGGGGUGCUGCAGCUGGUCAUGGAAGGCAGUGUAGCACAGUGGUUAAGGGAGCCACACCACUCAGCAUCCGCCACUUAGGGCCGUGUGAUCUCACAUGAGUUACUUCACUUCUCUGGGCCUCGCUCUUCUCAUCUGUAAAAUGGGGAUCACUAUAGUCCUGCCUCACUGGCUGUUGUGAAGAAUAAAUGAGCCGGUAGCAGGAAAAGUACUUGAACAGCCUGGCACAUGGUAUGUUCUCCAUAAUUGUUAGCUGGUACGAUUAGCAAGUGUUCACAAGGGCAGAAAAGUCCAUCUGGAGAGAGAAAGAAGAGCACAGGGAAAGGCCAUGCUGCCCAGGAGAGAAGGAGAGCCCCCGGGAGCAGGGGCUUUGCUCCUGACAGGUUCCCAGGUCCUAGCUCCAUGAGAUGCUGGAUUCCCGCUGCCCUCGGGCUCCACGAGGCACCCCGUGUCCUCAGAGUUAACUCCUUUGUGUUUUGGCCAAAGCCAGCCUAAGUGAAUUUCUGAAGUCUGAAGACAAAACCUCUUUCCCAAAACCGUGUUCGACUCUUCCGCCCCUUGAGAAAUAGAACAAUUUAGGCAAAAGGCAGCAUUAAGGUAAUGUGGGGGGUGGGGUGAGACCGCGUUUAGGUAAAAGUGUAGCCUCUUAAGUACCAAGCGUCAGAGCCUCGUAAUGGAACCCUCCUUUGAUGGGAGCCCUCUGGGAAAGAGGCCCAGGCUUGGAAUUCAAAUACCCAAGUUCAGAUUCGAUUUAUUUAAAAGCCCAAGCCCCAGGGACUCCAAUGUACUCACCGAGAUGGACGAGAGGACUAAAUAAAUAGCGAGCCUGACUAGAGCUUUGCUAAGUUUAAGGGGAUGAUGCUCGUUUGAUCGUCUGAUCCUCAUAACAACCCCAGAGGGAGGUGCUAACAUCCCUAUUUUAGAGAUGAAGAAAUGAGCUCCCUUAACUGGUGAGUGGAGAUGUCACCAUUCCACUCCAGGCAGUGUGAGCCCGGGACACACGCCGUCAGCGCCACACUGCACCACCUAGUGUACGCAGACGACACAGCUGGCCUCUAAUGUAGAACUCUGUUCCCUGAGAUUUACUGAUUGAGGUAAGACUCUUUCUAGAAAUAUCUCAUAAGUGGGUGAAAUCCAGUGCCCAUCCUUGAGUGGAGAUGUGCAACGGAAACACGCAACGUAUUCAUUGAAUGCGGAAUUAUCUCAGGAGCAAGGAUAAUUCACACCUUCCGAUAACUCAAUAACAAGGAAGGCUUCCUUAAAGAGCCUGACUUCCGCCAGUGUUUAUGUUUGUUUCCCUUCUAGCAAUGGGCACAAGUAGGCCGACAGUGUGCUGGGAAGACAUGGUGACUGAGAAAGCCUUUCUGAGUUUUAAAAUGUGUUAUGGUAAAUCCAGGGUGAAUAAUGAAGACCUCACUUGAAUUUCUGUAUUCUCUCUCCUUGUAGCCAAAUUUCACUGCCAUUCUUACCUGGGAAGCAAUCAAGUAGGGUUCUAUUUGGCAGUUGUCAUUUGUUGUUUUCAAUAGAAAGUUUGGCAGAUGGGUGAACUUCAGGCACUAUGGCUUAAUCUUUGGCAGACUGUCUUGUAUAACAUGCAUUCUAUAGAUUCUUUUCUUAAGAUGUGUGUUCUUCUUCCACACAGACUUCCUCCCCGGUUGUUACAGAUGGGAAAGGAGCAGUACGUAUAUCACUUAAAUGAUGGAGCCUCAGUUUGGUCAUUUAUAAAAUGGACAUAAUAAUGCUCUACUGUCUGGUGCAUUCGUUUUGAGGAUUAGAUAGCAUUUGAUAUAUGAACUGUCACCAAGCACAGAAUCUGGCUCAACUAUUAUUCUUAGGACCAACUCAGCUCAAAAGUGAGGGAUAAUGUGCAAAAUCACAGAUGGAUUUCACAAAUUGCUGAGCAAAAGAGGCUAGAAUCAGAAGAGUACAUACUUUCCAUUUGCAUCUAGAUGACAUUGAAAAACAGGACUGUGGGCCCUCUCUCGGAUUAGCAGCAGGCAUCCCAUCCCUGGUGGCCACAGCCCUGCUGGUGGCUUUGCUAUUUACUCUGAUUCACCGAAGAAGAAGCAGCAAUGAGUCUGCCGAGGAAAGUGAGAGGCCAUGUGAAAUUUCAGAAAUCUAUGACAGUCCCAGGAUAGCUGAGAAUCCUAGGAGGGCACCCACACACGGGAAGAAUAUGAUGGGAUCUGAAGAAUCUCACAUAUAUGUGAAGACUGUAGCAGGAAGCGAGGAGCCCAUGCAUGACACUUACCGUCCUACUGAAGAAAUGGAGAGAAGAAGGGGAUUGUGGUGGCUUAUGCCCAGACUGAGCUUGGAAUGAUGUGGCUCAGCCAAAGAGCAGAUCUGGUGCUGGAACAGAGCUGAAAACCCAGGGAUUUAUGCUUGAGUGAGGAGAGAUGCCAAACUGCUUCUUAACCAAUCUCAAUUUCAUUGACAGAUCUGGAAAACUUUUGGGUUGAUUUGUCUCUUUAGGGAACAGAUCUGCAAAGGUUCAUUCCAACUCUCAGAUCUUGUGGUUUAAUAAGCAGUAAAGCACAAAGUGUGGUCACUGUGCAUCCAGAAGGAGCCUUUGGAUCCUGUUCCUGACCCCAGUGGGAAUUCGCUUUUCUUUGUGAUUUUGGGAAAGGGACUUGAUUUCUGAGUGUCUUGCCUUCUCAUCUUUUUUCACAUCCUUUUCCUCAAAAAAGUCAUCAGACCUGGAUUCCAUGGGAGAGUUGACCAAGGCCAACAUGGGGUACAAAUUGGGACAUAAAUGAAGCUUACAGGGAAUGUGCAAGGGGAAGCAGUUCCUUGUUUCUGAACAUCUCAGGGUAGAAAUCAUGUGGAACCACACAGUCCCUGACCACAGGUGCAGCAUGUGACUGGAUCAUUCAUUGCUCCACCUGGGUCUGUGAUCAGAGAGUAUUCAAGGAAGGCAAUUCUGCAAUGAACUGUGUGUGUGUUGAGGGUCAGUAGGGUAGAAGGAAGGCAGAGGUUUCGAAAGAUUAUUAGAAAUGAUGGCUAUAUCCAUUUUGUGGGAUUAGAGAGAAAGGUCCAAGUCCUUGGACUAUCAUGGGGAAAAACUCACCGGCAGGAAGAGAGAUCAAGAGGACUCUGAGUGGAUGAACACAGGACCAAAGGGGUGGGACAGGUAGUAAUGUGCCUGCCACCUGAGGGAAGCCCGUGGACAGCGUCAGCCAGCUGGAGGCAGGCCUUCACCAUUGCUUCUGUGAGGAAUCCUCCAGGAAUCCUGGUUCCUCCACAUAGGGCCAUUGCUCAUGAGUAGGCUGGGUUUCCUGGUGGGAGAACCUGGGUUCAGGACCUCUUGGGGUUCAUCCACCAGCUCCAUGCACCACCAUGAUAAGCUGUAGAAACAUUCCUUUCUCACACAGGACCUCUGAUUGCUCAGAAACACACCCCCUCUUCUUCAAAUAACCAAGAAUAGGUUCUACAAACUCAAUCACUGCCAUGUGCCAACACCUGAUUUUCAAAACCCCUUGUGAAAUUCAAUUUUGCGCUAAGUCCCCUAGGUCCAGUCACCUUGACAAGCAAAUGUGGCCAUUUUUAAGCAGAUGUGCCCAGUGAUCCAGGUGCUUGUACUUCUCUUACAUGUUGGGAAGGACCUUGAAUUUGCUGAGAACUUGACUGUGGCCUUGGUCUUGACACUUAUAAGUUCAAGCCCUGGGGCAAAUUGUUGACCCGCAGAAGCUUCGAUUCUUCCCUUACGAAAUGGAGAUAGCAGUUCUCAUCCUUCCACCCCCAGGGUGGUUGUGAGGAUUGAAACACGCAUGUGAAUAAAGCUUGUAGUCUAUAAGGUAAUGUGUGACUUGUAUUUUGGAUCAUUUAUUUUUAUUCCACUUAUAAUUCAUUGCUCAGAGUCUUUAUUUCAAAUUGUUUCUACUAAAAUAGCAAGAUUCAGUAUUCCUGUCAUUUUUUUUCCUGCUAUGAUGUGCAAGAACUUAUUUUGGAAUAAAGUGAAAAGUAAAAUGGUCAUUUUUAUAGACAUACAACACAUCUGUGGUUUCUCUUGGCCUAUAUUAAAGUCUAUGACAUUGGCCCUGGGGUUGGAAUCAAGGUUAUCCCGGGGAUUUUUCUGGUGCUGGCUCUCUCUGGGGCUGAUGAGGGAGGUGUUCAUUUCUUCAUUUAGGGCAGCCUGUGUUGUGGGAAACUACAGGGACCAGAAGUCAGAAGCUGUAGCUCUCUGACCCAGGGCUGGUACGAGCUUAGGGAUGACUCUGGGCCAGUCGCAUUUUAUCUCCUUUCUUCAUGUACCACUUGGUGUUUGGGUUGGCUUGUCUCUAAGGUUAACUCCACCCAGUUCAAACAUUCUAACUUUGAUUUUCCAAAUUCUGCAAAGUAGGGCCUCCCCUUCCGCCUCCCUGCUCACCGCUCCCGUCAGCACAGCCUUCUGGACCUUGCAAAGUCCUUCUCAGCUCUUGGCUUUGGAGGUGGAGAGAGAGACUUAUUUCUCCUGUAUCCUGCCAAUAGACAACAGUUUCACAUAGCUUUCCUUGUGGCAUUUAUCACUGCAAAAGCGUAAUGCCAAUUAAAGACAAAAAACAUGAAGAAUGACUAAUGUUUGAAGCAUUGUCUAUUUAUACGAUCUUGCACUCCCACCAUCCUGGUGGAAAUUAUUGAUUAAUGCAUGAGUUAAUUUAACAAAUGGGCAUUGGCUUCCCUCAUGUGUCAGACCAUCUGCCGGGUCCUAUGAUAAGAUUGGAGACAUAAUGAAGAGGCUAAAGGCAACUGGGCUUUCCAGGAAAUGUCUCUCUACCAAAUGAACAUGGAGUCUCCUAUCCACUCAAGGAAACACUAUUAGGAAAGCUUUCAUAGAGGUGCUUUCCUUCUAGACUCAAAGACACAAAACAGACUCUUUCUUCCUUCUGGGCUCAAAUGAAAGAAGAAUCUACACUCUCUUUUCUUCGUUUUCCUUUACCUGAAGUUGUAGAAGGAGAGAUGGGCCUGACCCUUCCUGCCGCAGGGCACUCCGAAUGACUGAAGACCGAAAAGCCUGGUUAUGUCAGGGAAUACCUCAAAAUGCUGUGCCUACAAGAGAAACUCAGAGAAGGCUCUCUCUCCUCCACUCUGUAAUGAGGCUACCUCAACUCCAAUAAGUCAAGAGGUGUCAAAAAUACCAAAAUUGGGCAUGUGAGAGUGGGGAAGAAUUUGUAAGAUGGCUGAGUCUGUCCCAUAGGCUAUAGGAAGAAUUUGAAAACUGAUGGCGGCCUUUGAAGGACAGGCCACGUGUAACUUGGGGCUUAAAACUGAUUUGUAAUGACGGUGAAUCCAGUUCUCACAGAGUUAUGUUUGUAAGACUAAAAUGGGUUGAAAGAUUUGGCUGUGAGCGAGAACAAACCAUGAUCAAAUAAUUCUACUGGAAAUACAACUGAUUCUGUGACAAGGAAUCAGACAGUGAUUAUUUUUUCCAUUUUAUUUAUUUUCUUUUUUUCAUUUUAAUUUUUGUUUUUAUAGUAGUAACAUUGGAUAACAUUAUGUAACUUUCAGAUGUACAUCAUAAUAUAUUUCAAAUUCUGUGUAGAUUAUAUCACGUUCACCCCGCAAAGACUAAUUAUAAUCCAUCACCACACAUUCGCCUAAUCACCCCUUUCACCCUCCUCCCUACCCGUUUCCCCUCUGGCAACCAUCAGUCCAAUCUCUGUUGCUAUGUGUUUGUUGUUGUUUUAUCUUCUACUUAUGAAUGAGAUCAUAUGGCACUUGACUUUCUCCCUCUGACUUAUUUCACUUAGCAUAAUUCCCUCAAGGUCUACCCAUGUUGUCACAAAUGGCUGGAUUUCAUCCUUUCUUAUGGCUGAGUAGUAUUCCAUUGUGCACGUAUACCACAUCUUAUUUAUCCAUUUGUCCCUUGAUGGGCACCUAGGUUGCUUCCAAGUCUUGGCUAUUGUGAACAAUGCUGUGACAAACAUAGGGGUGCAUGUAUCUUUAUGCAUUUGUGCUUUCAAGUUCUUUGGAUAAAUACUAGGCAGUGGACUAGCUGGAUCAUAUGGUAGAUCUAUUCUUAAUUUUCUGAGGAGACUCCAUCCUGUUUUCCAUAGUGGCUGCACCAGUUAAAAUGUCCGUACUUCCUAAAGCAGUCUAUAGAUUCAAUGAAUCCCUAUCAAAGUUCCAACAACAUUUUUCACAGAAAUAGAACAAAGAAUCCUAAAAUUUAUAUAGAACAACAAAAGACCCCGAAUAGCCAAAGGAAUCCUGAGGAAAAAGAACAAAGCUGGAGGUAUCACACUCCCUGAUUUCAAAAUAUACUACAAAGCUAUAGUAACCAAAACAGCAUGGCACAAAAACAGACACACAGAUCAAUGGAACAGAAUCAAGAGCCCAGAAACAAACCCACACAUUUAUGGACAGCUAAUUUUAGACAAGGGAGCCAAGAGCAUACAAUGGAUAAAGGAGAGUCUCUUCACUAAAUGAUGUUGGGAAAACUGGACAGCCACAUGCAACAGACGGUGAUUAUUGCUGACUCACUGGACCAGGGAUUAUCCAUUUAUGAAGGCCAAGGUAAGACUGUGUGUUUUUGUCUUGAGAGCAAGAGAAAGCCUUGUUUGUGUCCCCUUCCUUCUAGUUCCCGCUGCUCUAACCAUAUGGGCCUCCUCUCUGCCCCUCAGAUGCCAUGGUCCCACCAGCAACACAGGCUUCCUCUCUGCUCCCCAGGCACUGGGAUCUUCCAGCUGUAAGGGCUUUCUCUCUGCUCAUUUGAUGCUAUGGUCCCUCCUGCCACAUGGGCCUUCUCUCUGCUUUUCAGACAACACAGCCUUCCACAUAUGGCCUUUGCACAUGCUGUUGAUGAGACAGAGCAGGCAGUCCAGGGAGGCCAAGGUCAACAGAAUUUAUAGGACAGAGGAGAGGAGGGAGUUGCAUGGAGACAGAACUCAGAGAUCUGUAGAGGAUUCUUCUUGAAUGUCUGACUGAGUAUUGAUCAGCACAUGCAUGUGAGGAAACUACCCAAGGCUGAGACAAGAACCACUCAAACUGUAUUAGUUUCUAAUACAGUUUUACAUUGUUCCCAGACAGCCAGAGUAGAAAACAUCAUAAUUCACCAGGCAUCAAGUAGAGUAGUAAGAAAAGUACUGCCUCAGUAGUG
ensembl:lncRNA